AGAGUUUGAUCCUGGCUCAGGACGAACGCUGGCGGCGUGCCUAACACAUGCAAGUCGAACGAGGUCCAUCCGGUAGCAAUACUGGUGAAGAUCGAGUGGCGAACGGGUGAGUAGCACGUGAGCAACCUGCCCCGAAGACCGGGACAACACCGGGAAACCGGUGCUAAUACCGGAUAUCCCCACCGAGUCGCAUGUCACGG
rnacentral:rRNA from 1 species